GAUGAACGCUAGCUACAGGCUUAACACAUGCAAGUCGAGGGGCAGCACAGUGUAGCAAUACAUGGGUGGCGACCGGCGCACGGGUGCGUAACGCGUAUCCAACCUUCCCGUUACUCAGGGAUAGCCUUCCGAAAGGGAGAUUAAUACCUGAUGGUGUUUGAAUUCCGCAUGUUAUUCAAACUAAAGAUUUAUCGGUAACGGAUGGGGAUGCGUGACAUUAGGUAGAUGGCGGGGUAACGGCCCACCAUGCCUACGAUGUCUAGGGGUUCUGAGAGGAAGUCCCCCACACUGGAACUGAGACACGGUCCAG
rnacentral:rRNA from 1 species